rnacentral:rRNA from 1 species
AUUGUAAACUUCUGUUAAGUGGGAGGAAAUGCCGAUUAAUAAUACGAACCGGAGCUGACUGUACCAUUAGAGAAAGCACCGGCUAAACUCGUGC